AGCUCCAAUAGCGUAUAUUAAAGUUGUUGCAGUUAAAAAGCUCGUAGUCGGAUUCUGAGGAGCGGGCGCUCUUGGUCUUUCCGGGAGGUCUGUACCGAAGCGCCCACCUCGAUUUUCCGGAUCGUCGUCUUCUGCUCUUAACUGAGUGGGGGAUGGCUCCGGAUCGUUUACUUUGAAAAAAUUAGGGUGUUCAAAGCAGGCUAAAACGUAAGCCUUGAAUAGAUUAGCAUGGGAUAAUAGAAUACGACCUCGUUCGUGUUUUGUUGGUUUAGCGGACGAGGUAAUGAUUAAUAGGGACAAUCGGGGUAAUUCAUAUUUAAUUGUCAGAGGUGAAAUUCUUAGAUUUCUGAAAGAUGAACGUCAGCGAAGGCAUCUUACAAGGGUGUCUCCA
rnacentral:rRNA from 1 species